GACAGAGGGGGCAAGCGUUGCUCGGAAUCACUGGGCGUAAAGGGCGCGUAGGCGGGAUGGCAAGUCGGUCGUGAAAUCCUUCGGCUCAACCGAAGAACGUCGGCCGAUACUGCCGGUUCUUGAGGGAUGCAGAGGAGAUUGGAAUUCCCGGUGUAGCGGUGAAAUGUGUAGAGAUCGGGAGGAAGCACCGGUGGCGAAGCGGGUCUCUGGGCGAUCUCCUGACGCUGAGGCGACGGAAAGGCGUGGGGGAGCAAAACGGG
rnacentral:rRNA from 1 species